UAUCUCUCCUAUACCAAUAUUUGUUGGAAUAGGGACUUGGGGUCUUUCUCGUCGGAAACUAACUCGUUAGCACCCGGUGAACCCUUUAAAUAUAGCAAGCUCCCAUCUUUUAUCGGAAAUACGCAAACUUGGGGAUGGCGUCGUAGCAAUCACUUUUAAUUUAGUAUUGUCGAAGCGCCUAUAUCAUACCUCUAAUCUGCGGUGCUAAUCCUUUUUCAGUGGGCGAAGCUUGGCGACUGGCAAAGUGCCAUGCUCCCUUAUUUUGGAGUACACGAACAA
rnacentral:misc_RNA from 1 species